GGCGAGGCUCAGUCAGGGCAGGGAGGGGGAGCUGUGGAAUGGCGGACGGCCGGGCUGGCCCGCCCUGGUGGUAACGAGCCGAGGGGGCCGGAGGGGACAGCUGCGGAGGGGGAACAGUGCCUGAAGCAGGUCCACCAUGCCGUUAGUAACGAGGAACAUUGAGCCAAGGCACCUGUGCCGUCAGACGUUGCCUAGCGUUCGAAGCGAGCUGGAAUGCAUGACCAACAUCACCCUGGCAAAUGUCAUUCGACAGCUGGGCAGCCUGAGUAAAUUUGCAGAAGACAUAUUUGGAGAGUUGUUUACUCAAGCCAACACCUUUGCCUCUCGGGUGAGCAUUCUAGUCGAGAGAGUUGACCGCUUGCAAGUCAAAGUCACUCAGCUGGAUCCCAAAGAGGAAGAAGUGUCCCUGCAAGGCAUUAACACCAGGAAGGCCUUCAAAAGCUCUACUACUCAGGACCAGAAGCUCUUUGAUAGAGAUUCUCUUCCCGUGCCUGUCCUUGAAACCUAUAGGACCUGCAAUACUCCUCCACCUCUCAACAUUCUCUCACCUUACAGGGAUGAUGGCAAAGAGGCACUUAAAUUCUACACGGAUCCUUCAUAUUUCUUUGACCUUUGGAAAGAGAAAAUGCUUCAGGACACCAAGGAUAUUAUGAAAGAGAAGCGGAAACAUAGGAAAGAGAAAAAGGAGAAUCCAAACAGAGGAAAUGUGAAUCCACGGAAAAUCAAAACCCGGAAAGAAGAGUGGGAGAAGCUGAAAAUGGGACAAGAAUUUGUUGAGUCAAAGGACAAACAUGGUCCUGCUGGGUACCCCUCUAACAUGGUGUAUCAGAACGGCAGCAUCGGUUCAAACGAAAGCAUGGACGUGAACUGCUACCCGCCACCGCCGCAGACUGACUCUAUUGUGCCACCACCUCCUUCAUUCCCAGAUGACAGCCUGCCUCCGCCCCCGGUGGAAUUUAGCUAUCCUGUAGACAACCAAAGAGGUUCUGGUUCUGGAGGGACCAAACGAUCCAGCCUGGUUAGCCCAAGUCACCCACCACCAGCUCCUCCGAUCGGAUCCCCCUCAGCAGCCAGGCCAGGCUUUGCUCCCCCUCCAGCGCCACCUCCACCACCACCACUGCUGGGAAACACCUCCCCUCCACCACCUCCCAUGGGCUUCCCAUCCCCGGGAACUCCACCACCACCCUCACCCCCUUCUUUCCCUCCUCACCCCGAGUUUGCUGCCCCGCCACCACCACCACCCCCUCCGGCAGUCGAAUAUGCCAGCGUGCUCCCACCUCCGCUGCCACAGCCAGGCAGUGGGAAUACGCCGCCUCCCCCUCCACCACCGCCUCCUCCUGGCCCACCGCCUCUGUCUUCCAGUGGCCUGGAUGGUCCCCCACCCCCUCCUCCACCUUCAGACACCUCUGCCUCCAAGCCCAAGUCAUCCUUGCCUGCAGUUAGUGAUGCCAGGAGUGAUCUGCUUUCAGCUAUUCGUCAAGGCUUCCAGCUCCGCAAGGUGGAGGAGCAAAGGGAACAGGAGAAGCGGGACGUUGUGGGCAAUGAUGUGGCAACGAUCCUGUCACGCCGCAUCGCUGUGGAGUACAGCGACUCUGAGGACGACUCUUCGGAGUUCGAUGAGGACGAAUGGUCGGAUUAACCACAGUCCUGUCCCCUUCUUCCCCUUCUCUCCUGGGUUAACGUCUUCUUAAAGAAUCAGGUGCCUGGGCAGAGGGAUGAAGAAAGCCAGCGGGUCCCAAGCUGUCUUGCAGACGCCAUCCGCGCAGCAGCCUCUUCCAGUACCGAAAUGCAGCCGUGCCAAGGUGGUGUUAGCAACACCCAGAAGAUGCUGCCGGCUGCCUUGGACGAGUGGGCUGCGUGUCCUUUCCACCACUGACGUCAGCUUCUCUCCCUUAAUUCCCCCUCUGGGACCAAAGCGAGUGCAGGCGCUGCCAGCUCUGAUCAGCGUUAACAGCCUGCUCUCCCAGUGUGUGGCAGCGCUCUGCCUUGCCAAUGUCACCCCCGACUCGCGCUGCCUUCGUUAGCCAAGCAUCCAUGGGUGGUGGGAGAGCACUACCCUCUUCCAACUCCCCGGGAAGGGCCCGUUGCCAGCAGAGAGUCCCCAUUUCUUGCACGUAGGUGUGCUGAGAUGGCAGCUCAGCCCCUGUAGAAAUGGCUGACUCCUUCUCUCUCGCUCUCUUUCUGCCUUUUUUUUUUUUUUCUCUCCUCCCUGCCUUUGCUGUUGCCUACGCGGUUGUGUGGGGAAGGCAAUCGGCUCCCGUGCUGCGGAUGGCUUUAUCUGUAACUCUUCCAUCUGCUCACAGCAGCUCACAAAUAACCACGGGGUGCCAGAGGAAUUAUGUAUUUGGAGCUCAAGUUUCUGCAGUCUGGCAGGGCAGCAGCUCUGCGCUGGGCUCAUCCGCUCCUGCAAAGGCCAGCGCCUGCAUGUGGAGGGCUUAAGGCAGCCGGCGCGGAGCUGGGGUUGUGGCCAGGGCCAAAUUCCGCUCCCCAUUGCCGUCUCCAGGCCAGGUUGAGUUAGACAAAGCCCCAGCCCUGAGCCAGCGUGGGAGCCCGGUCCUCUGCGAGCUGCCAGUGGGAAGCAGAGGGUGCUGCCGGCCCUGGGUCCCUGCACCCCGGUCGGGCAGCCAAGGGCUCCUGGCACGAAGCCGCCUUCUGCAUCGGAUGUUGCUGCAGGAAUAAAAUGGGAGGCUGCAGGGUGCUAGGGACGGACCUCCUUUCCACCCUGCUGUUUGCUGUCUCCCACCCAGAACAGCACUUUCGGACAGGCUCUCCUCCCCGGGAAACGCUGGCCGAUGCCUCCCAGAGCCACGGCUCCUGUGGUGGCCGGGGACGAUGCUCCACGGCCCAAGCCGCACCGGGAAAUGCCUCCCGCUGCCCCACUGCCUUCGGCAUUUGGUAAAAUGCUUACGAGCGGGGCCGCGUUUUCUUCAUUUCCUGCCUGCUCCUGCUUCCAAGGAAACAAAAUCCCCCAAGCCAGGGCUGAGGUUUCUCAUUUAAAUGUAACCCAGGCCAAUAACCAGGGCUGCUCAGCCCUCCCUGUAGCCUGGUGUUCCCAGCCCGGCCGCCCACGGUGGUGCAGGGGGGAUGUCGAGGCUCACGCUCCCUGCCGGGAUGCACCCAUCAUGGGCACCCCAGUAAAUCACUGGGAGCAGAGACCCACCCUUAGGAUGCGAUUUGGGCGAUGGGCAGCUCUCGGCUCUGCCCCAGGCAGGUCAAUUGGGGUUCGGGGUGCUGGUGGGAGGUUUUGGGGUAGCAGCAACCUCCCUCCCUUCUCCAAUCUGGCAAAGCUGCCUUGUUUUUGGUACCAGGGCUUGAGUGGAGGCUUCUUAGCGGGUGGCUCUUGCCUGGCAGGGACUGGCCAUGGCUUUGCCAUGGUUACUGCCAGCUCUCUUGCCCGGCAUCGCUGCUCCUGGCAAGGUGGCAAAGGGCAGGCCGUGGAGCUGUAGCCGAGCCCCGCUGCUGCCAAUGGGACAGGGGCUGCCCGCAGCAGAUAAGGGGAAAAAAAAAACCUGCCCGGACCCCCAUGCCCUCACUGCAACAUAGGCAGGGUUUGGAGGCAAGAGGCUGCCUGUGGCUUACAGCAUCUGCUGGGAGCUGUGGUGCUGGGCAGGGGGUGCCUGGGGAGGGCUGGGCCUGCCAGAUGUGCAUGCACAGCUGGGGUGAUGGCAUGCCAGUGCCUUUAUCCUGCUCACAGCCUCUUAGCUCAUAUUUUAACCCCAAAGAUGGGCCAUCGGUCCCUCCCGAGCCUCUCCUUCACAUCGGCGGCGUGGGGGUGGCUGCUCAGCGCUCGGGCGCCUUCUCGGAUGGAUUUGACUGUUUUUUUAUACCUCCGCUUUCUGCAUCUUUCUCCACCAAAAAAGGGAGCGGGCUGGGCCCUGCUGCGGGCUGUUUACCUCCCCGCUCGGUGCCGCCUGCUCCGUUCCCUGACGGCCUGGGAGCAGCCAGGAACAUCUCCAGAGUCACUGGCUGGUGUGCCGGGAGAGCAACCAGCACCACGGCACGGUCGGGGUCUCGGCUGCCUCCACCCCCACAUUCAGCCUCGGCUUUCCUCAUCCAUCCUGGCAGGAGGGAAUUGGACACAGCGAACCCUAGCGUGUCACCCUGUCCCCAGGGGAGAUGACAGGGACCCCAGGGAGCAGAAGGGACCGGCCAGGCUUGCCCACCGUGAAGAAGCAAAGGGGCUGCGGCUGCUCCCUCUGAAGACAUCAGUAGGGGAAGCACGAGGGAGAGAAAAGCUAUUUAAGCUGCCGUACAAUGUUGACAUAAGAACAACCAGGUAUAAACUGCCUAUGAAUAAAGCAGGGCUGGGAAUUACAGGAUUUUUUACUGCUGGGGGAGGUGAGCUCGGGAAUUAUCCCCCAGCUGAGGGGUGGAGGGUCCUCAGCUCAGCCCUGGGGCAUGAUGGGUGCCUCCAACCCCCUGAGCUUUGCUCCUCUUCUCCUGGCUUAACAUUGGUGGGGACAAAAGGAGCCCCAAAUUCCCCAACCCCGACACCAGCGCUGAGCCCAGCCCCUGGAGAGCAGGAGACAUAGGUCUGCGGGUCCUUCAGCCUCUCGCCAGCCCCAUCUCCCCUCGACGCUUGCUGCCAUAACCCCUUUCCAGUGCUCAGCUCGGCCAAGAAGCGGAAGGAAAUCUUUAUUUCCUUUGCAAUAAACAGCACCAACCCUCCGGGCUGCCACCAGGUCCCCGAGCCCAAGGUGAAGCCAAGCCUCGGGGACCGGCGCGCAUUCUGCACCACCCGUGCCGCAGCACCCAGCCGGGCUCCGGCUGCUCUUCAGCCCUGGGCUCUGCCACAUCCCGGCGUGUCUGUGGAUGCACAAAUGCCUGUAAGAAACCUGCUGCUCCCUGACCGGAGUGGGCAGGGGCACGGGGGGCUCUCGGGGCACAGAGCCCUGCUACCGGAGGGGACGAGCUGCCCUAAUUAGCUUUGCCAUCGUUAACCCUGCCUUCCCCGCGAUGAGCGCCGCACGCAAACGGCGUGGGCAGCAAUGACGGGCAUCCCAGACCCUAUUUGCACGGUGGUUCUCGCAGCACGGCCACCUUGGCGCAGGGGCCCCGGGCAGAGCCCCGAGUCCUCCCGUGCCACCUUUGCCAGGAGAGGGGCCAGGGUGCAGGCAGCUGCCCGUGAUCUUGCUGUGAUGGAGGCAGCAAUAACAGCACAAGGCUGGAUGCAGCCCUUCUGCCUGCUGGACCACUCCGAGGAUGAGGAUGGCCGGCACCCUCGGUGCUGCUCCCCCAGGGCCGGCUCC